CCUCCUCAUUCUUCUUCCCCAUCUCAAACCCUCAAAGACCAAAACCCCAAAACCCUAGCCGCCUCUAGGCAAUUUGCACCAAAAACCCAGCGGCAAUGACGCCGCCGGUCACCCCGUUAACACCACAGAACCCCCAUCACACCAGAAAGCCAAAUCCACUAACCCCUAAUCUCGAAUCAAACAGAACCUUCUUAAAUCUUCAUUUGAAGAUUCGAGCCCAGAUUCAACUCACACCAAAUCACCCCAAAUCAAUACCAAGCACUCCCCUGACAUCUCUCGUACCUAAACCAACAAGGUUUUGGUUCGAAUCUGACCUGAAAAGGCCGAACCCUAAAAGUGACUGUAUCAACCCUAGAAAAUCCAAGGUUUGGAGUCUGGCCAAGUUAAGUGGAAAUUGGGAUCCAAAGGACUCUAUUCUAGGUGUUCUCAACUGAGAACACCCCGAGUUGCCUGCCCAGUUGAGUAAAUAGGGGUAGAGUUGUUGUUUGCUGGUGAUUGAUGCGUCUCCAGUGAACUUCUCAUGCUGUUAUUCAUGUCAUCCAUAAAGGUUGACUAGAUAAUGUUGUAGAGAUGCCCAUCUUGAAAGGCUCCAUGAAGGUUGAAUGCUGGUAGUGCACUGCAGUAAGUUUCUUAGGUUCCUUCAAAUCACUGUUUAGUAGCUGUAAUUCAAAGUAGUAUCUGGUAAGAUUGCUAUGCUGUUUAAGUAGUAUUUUUGUAUUCCUGGAGGCAUGUAUGGAUGAAUACUUGGUGCAAAUGGUACAGUUUCAUCAGAUUAUAUAUUAAUAUAGUAAACUUGAUUUUCAAUUUUAGGCUAAAGAACUAGGAAGACCGGCUCAUCUACAUGAGCUUCUGAAGAAGACUCAUGUCAAGGCGAACAUGGAGUUUGUGGAACAAAAAUCUAAGAGCACAU
rnacentral:lncRNA from 1 species